GGGGGAAUGAGGCCCGUGUGCUUUUCUUCCCUGGUUAUCCAGGACUACCAUUUGCAUGCUACACAUGCCAAAAUUGCCACAGGCCUUUUUCACCUCAUCCCUGUUAAUCCACGGGAAAACAAAAAAACUACUCUGGCCUCGUGUUUAUCGUUCCUGUCUCUCUGCUAGUUCGUCUCUGUCGCAGCAGCCAUGGCGGCUAGAGUUUACGCCGCCGGCUUCCAUCCAUAGGAAAAACCUCCUCAUCUAGUCGUUGCCCUCCAUCCCCACAUGCCCACGCUGCUCGUCGCCCCUCUCCACCACCAGGAAUCAUUCAGUUCACCCGAUCCAGCGCAUCGCAUCUACAACCGUGCGUCCAGUUCCUGCUUUGCUCAGCUGACGUGGUCUCUGUAGUAGAUCAGGCCUGAGGUGUUUUUUCUUAGUAUAGCUAUGAGUAAAGGAGAAAACUCUAGGGCUCAUUGGAACUUCAAUAAAGAAAAGGCCUAGUUGAUAUAUUGAACGAGCACAAUCAUCAAAGGUUCCGGGGGCAAAAUGGAUGGGCGACCGAAGGGUGGAAGAGCAUUGUGAAGAGUUUUAAUGAAAAGUUUCCAUCUGAUCGGUUUACAAAGGGCCAAAUACAAGAAAAGGAGAAAGAGGAUAAAGCAAACUACAAGGCAAUCCGUGAUGGAAAAAAGAAAAGUGGUGCAGGAUGGAAUGAACCUUUGUGCAUGAUUAAUGCUGAGCCAGUAAUAUGGGAAAAGCUUAUCCAUGAUAUUCCAAGGCUAAAGAAAUUCCAAGCAAAAUCAUUCACUUUGUUUUAUGAACUAGAAAAGCUGCAUGAAGGAAGCAUUGCUACAGGUGAUCUAAACUUCACAUCAACUGAACCAGCACCCCAACCAACUGAACAUGUUAGCACUAUUGAUAUUGAUGCUCAUGAUUCUCACCUUAACCCUUUCCUUGCAAAUGUGGAUGAUCACAUGCCAUCUAGUGGACCCAUAGACAUAGAAUAGAUAGAAACAUCAUCUUCAUCUUGCUCUAAAAAUCUUGAAAAUAGGACUGGGAAGAAAAGAAAGCUCGGUAUUGCUGGAGUUUUACAAAACUAUAUGGACAUUAGGGCAAAUGAAACAAAAAUAUUUAUGAAUGAACUCAAUGAGACAACUAAGGAAGCAGGUGACUAUUCUAUCAAGCAGUGUCUGGAUCUUCCAGAAUCAAUUGAAGAACUUUCAGAUGAGGAAAAGGCGCAAGCAACAAAUGUGCUGAAGUCUGAGGUCAACAGAGAAAUUUUCAUGAACUUCAAGAUUCCAAAGGUUCGUUUGUUAUGGGUCAAAGGCGAAAUCGCUCCCAAGGUCUAAUCUACAUUGUAUCGUGGUUGCUGGUGGUGUUUACAAGCUGAUGGCUGCAGAUGGUGCAUUUUUGGCUUCUUUGUAUCUGGUUUUGAGACAUUGUAGUGAAGGUUGACAUGAGAAACUCUUGUAUGAACUUUGGAAUGGUUAUCUUUGGAGUGCCUUGUGACAAUUUACCUUUUUAUGUACUUCGGAUAUGUAUGGAAUAUUUUUCUUUGAUGCAUGUACUUCGGAUUUGUAUGAAUAUUUUUAUCCUUGCUAAUAAUUUUGUGUGUUGCA